GCAUAUCAUAAGCGGAGGGAAAAGAAAUCAACAGGGAUUGCCCUAGUAACGGCGAGUGAAGCGGCAACAGCUCAAAUUUGAAAUCUGGCGUCUUCGGCGUCCGAGUUGUAAUUUGCAGAGGGCGCUUUGGCAUUGGCAGCGGUCCAAGUUCCUUGGAACAGGACGUCACAGAGGGUGAGAAUCCCGUACGUGGUCGCUAGCCUUUACCGUGUAAAGCCCCUUCGACGAGUCGAGUUGUUUGGGAAUGCAGCUCUAAAUGGGAGGUAAAUUUCUUCUAAAGCUAAAUACUGGCCAGAGACCGAUAGCGCACAAGUAGAGUGAUCGAAAGAUGAAAAGCACUUUGGAAAGAGAGUUAAAAAGCACGUGAAAUUGUUGAAAGGGAAGCGCUUGCAGCCAGACUUGCCUGUAGUUGCUCAUCCGGGUUUCUACCCGGUGCACUCUUCUAUAGGCAGGCCAGCAUCAGUUUGGGCGGUUGGAUAAAGGUCUCUGUCAUGUACCUCCUUUCGGGGAGAACUUAUAGGGGAGACGACAUGCAACCAGCCCGGACUGAGGUCCGCGCAUCUGCUAGGAUGCUGGCGUAAUGGCUGUAAGCGGCCCGUCUUGAAACACGGACCAAGGAGUCUAACAUCUAUGCGAGUGUUUGGGUGUCAAGCCCGAACGCGUAAUGAAAGUGAACGGAGGUGGGAACCUUUCGGGGUGCACCAUCGACCGAUCCUGAUGUCUUCGGAUGGAUUUGAGUAAGAGCAUAGCUGUUGGGACCCGAAAGAUGGUGAACUAUGCUUGAAUAGGGUGAAGCCAGAGGAAACUCUGGUGGAGGCUCGCAGCGGUUCUGACGUGCAAAUCGAUCGUCAAAUUUGGGCAUAGGGGCGAAAGACUAAUCGAACUAUCUAGUAGCUGGGUUCCUGCCGAAG
rnacentral:rRNA from 1 species